rnacentral:rRNA from 1 species
GACAGCAGUAGCCGCGGGAAUACGAAGGGUGCAAGCGUUAAUCGGAAUUACUGGGCGUAAAGCGCGCGUAGGUGGUUUGGUAAGAUGGAUGUGAAAUCCCCGGGCUCAACCUGGGAACUGCAUCCAUAACUGCCUGACUAGAGUACGGUAGAGGGUGGUGGAAUUUCCUGUGUAGCGGUGAAAUGCGUAGAUAUAGGAAGGAACACCAGUGGCGAAGGCGACCACCUGGACUGAUACUGACACUGAGGUGCGAAAGCGUGGGGAGCAAACAGGAUUAGAUACCCCCGUAGUCCCUGUCUCUUAUAC